GUGCGGAGCCGCGCGAGGUCUCUCUAUCGACCUACAGUUCUCAUUCUGUUUUGCCAAGUGUACGCCAAGAAGGACACGGCGCCGGCGCCGCGUAAAAGCAGGAACGAUGUCUCCUUGGCUGAACAGGAGCACAAACUGUUCUGACAGGGUUAUGUGGAUGGAAAGACGUUUCUUCUUCAAACUCAGAGGUAUGAGGGGGAAGUGAGGGAUCAGAUCAGUGGCUGGACAUGCCACGGGACCCCAGCCUGCACUGCCAUGUGACUUCAACCGCAUGAGAGACCCUGGGCCCAGAGCACCCCUACUCAUGAGCAAAAUAGACAGACUUUCCUGAGAUACUGCUGUGCACACAUCUCUGACGAUGGUCCCAACCGAAUGUGCAUGGAUCCAUGCGGUGCAGCUCAUCCAAAUUGUUGUCUUUGAAAGUUCUUAAGAACUGAAGCAUAAGACUUCCCACAGGACUCUGAGAAGUGGUGUUGCCACAGGCAAAGUGUCUAUGUCCGACAAACCCCAACUCUGGGGGGCCUGUGAGGAAAUGGAGACUUUCAUUCCCAGAAGGUGGAGCUGUACAUUGGUACAACCUCUUUGGAGAGCAAUUGGACAGCAUCAACAAGUUUAAGAAUUGCAUACUCCAUGUUCUACAAUUCCCCUUUUCGGUAUAACCCUGAGGAAAUUUUCCACCUGUGGACAAGGAAACAGGCAUAGAGACGUUUGAACAGCAGCGUUGAUGUUGGCCUCUGCCUGGGGCUCUUCCUCACAUGUACACUGAGCUGAUUCUUUAUCUCCUUCAAGCCUUUGCUCAAAGAUGCCUUCUCAGUGGUGUCUGCCCUGACCCCUAUCCCCCAACUGAAAUGGGAGCCUGUUUCCCUCUGCAUAU